rnacentral:rRNA from 1 species
GACGAACGCUGGCGGCGUGCUUAACACAUGCAAGUCGAGCGGUAAGGCUCCUUCGGCAGUACACGAGCGGCGAACGGGUGAGUAACACGUGAGUAAUCUGCCCUUCACUUCGGGAUAACCACCGGAAACGGUGGCUAAUACCGAAUACGACCAGUCUUCGCAUGAGGUGCUGGUGGAAAGUCUUUUCGGUGAAGGAUGUGCUCGCGGCCUAUCAGCUUGUUGGUGGGGUAAUGGCCUACCAAGGCUUCGACGGGUAGCCGGCCUGAGAGGGUGACCGGCCACACUGGGACUGAGACACGGCCCAGACUCCUACGGGAGGCAGCAGUGGGGAAUAUUGGACAAUGGGCGAAAGCCUGAUCCAGCAACGCCGCGUGAGGGAUGACGGCCUUCGGGUUGUAAACCUCUUUCAGUACCGACGAAGCGCCCUGUCGGGUGGUGACGGUAGGUACAGAAGAAGGACCGGCCAACUACGUG